rnacentral:snRNA from 1 species
GGAUGUGAGGGCGAUCUGGCUGCGACAUCUGUCACCCCAUUGAUCGCCAGGGUUGAUUCGGCUGAUCUGGCUGGCUAGGCGGGUGUCCCCUUCCUCCUCACCACUCCAUGUGCAUCCCUCCCGAAGCUACGCGCUUGGUCGAAGAGUACAACCAUCCCCGAUAGAGGAGGACCGGUCUUCAGUCAAGGGUAUACGAGUAGCUGUGCUCCUCUGCUAGAACCUCCAAACAAGCUCUCAAGAAAGCUUGCUCUAAAAUUCCAAUUUCUGAUGGAUUCAAUGAGCUUGUCAGUCACUGCCUCCUUUCCCUUCUCUCUUCUGGGAAAAAGGGGUUUUUUUUCCUGCUGAG